AUACGGAGGAUCCGAGCGUUAUCCGGAUUUAUUGGGUUUAAAGGGUGCGCAGGCGGCCAUUUAAGUCAGCGGUUAAAUCGUGGGGCUCAACCCCAUUCUGCCGUUGAUACUGGGUGGCUUGAUUGCGGUCGAGGUUGGCGGAAUUCGUUGUGUAGCGGUGAAAUGCAUAGAUAUGACGAAGAACACCGAUUGCGUAGGCAGCUGACCAGAUCGCAAAUGACGCUCAUGCACGAAAGUGCGGGGAUCGAACAGGAUUAGAUACCCUGGUAGUCCGCACAGUAAACGAUGAAUACUUGUUUUCGGCGAUAUAAUGUCGGAGGCAAAGCGAAAGCGAUAAGUAUUCCACCUGGGGAGGACGCCGGCAACGGUGAAACUCAAAGGAAUUGACGGGG
rnacentral:rRNA from 1 species